UUGACCUCGGAUCAGGUAGGGAUACCCGCUGAACUUAAGCAUAUCAAUAAGCGGAGGAAAAGAAACCAACC
rnacentral:rRNA from 1 species